rnacentral:lncRNA from 1 species
GAAAAUUAUUUUUUAAUUCAUGUCAAAGAAAAACAGAGAAGGAAGGAAAGAAGGAAGGAAGGAAGGCAGGCAGGCAGGCAGGCCUCUAUGAGAAACAUAGUUCCCUGGCCAGCCUCUAGCUGCUGUUUUUUUUGUGGGGGAGUGGGGAUGGAGUCUCACUCUGUUGCCCAGGUUGAAGUGCAGUGGUACAAUCUCAGCUCACUGCAACCUCUGCCUGCCAGGUUCAAGCGAUUCUCCUGCUUCAGCCUCCUGAGUAGCUGGGGUUACAAGCAUGAACCACCAUGUUUGGCUAAUUUUUUCUUUUUCUUUCUUUCUUUCUUUCUUUCUUUCUUUCUUUCUUUCUUUCUUUUUUUUUUGAGACAGAUUCUUGCUCCGUAGCCCGAGCUAGAGUGCAGUGGUGCAAUCUUGGCUCAUUACAACCUCCGUCUCCCAGGUUCAAGUGAUUCUCCUGCCUCAGCCUCCUGAGUAGCUGGGACUACAGUGGCGAGCCACCAUGCCCAGCUAGUUUUUGUAUUUUUAGUAGAGACGGGGUUUCACUGUGUUGGUCAGGCUGGUCUCGAACUCCUGACCUCAGGUGAUCUGCCUGCAUCGGCCUCCCAAAGUGCUGGGAUUACAGGCAUGAGCCACUGUGCCCGGCCACGCCUGGCUAAUUUUUUGUAUUUUUAGUAGAGAAAGGGUUUCACCAUGUUGGCUAGUCUGGUUUCAAACUCCUGACCUCAAGUGAUUUGCCUGCCUUGGGCUCUCAAAGUGCUAGGAUUACAGGUGUGAGCCAUCAUGCCCAGCCAGCUGCCAUUUUUGGAUCCACCUCAGUUCUCACACUGAGGCCACUUUCUGGUUUACUUCCACUCAAUGACUGCACACAGUAGGGGUACUAAGUGUGAGGUACAUAAUACACAGCCACUGAUUUAGUAAAUGCAUUUUUUCCCCUACUUCUAUCAGGAAAGAGACUAGAAAUAGUUCACAUCCAUGUGGGACGACAAUAUUUACUCAGUUUUGCCCCAAGAAUAAUAUUUGCUCCUUUGAUGAUAAAAUGUGAAUUAUAGGCUGUUAUAGUUUGGAUAUUUGUCCCCACCCACAUCUCAUGUUGAAUUGUAAUCCCCAGUGCUGAAUGUGGGGCCUGCCCAGAGGUGUUUGGAUCAUGGGGGUGGAUCCCUCAUAGCUUGGUACUGUCUUUUCAGUUCUCUCGAGAUCUAGUCAUUUAAAAGUGUGUAGCAUCUGCCCCCUGACCUUGUUCCUGCUUUCACCAUGUGAUGUGCCUGCUUCCCCUUUGCCUUCUGCCACGAUUGGAAGUUUCCUGAGGCCUCCCCAGAAGCAGAUGCUGCUAUGCUUCCUGUACAGCCUGUAGAACCAUGAGCCAAUUAAACCUCUUUUCUUAUAAAUUACCCAGUCUCAGCUAUUUCUGUAUAGCAAUCUAAGAGAAAAUUGGCACCGGGGUGGGGAAUUACUAUAAAGAUACCUGAAAAUGUGGAAGUCAUUUUGGAACUAUGUAACAGGCAGAGGCUGAAAGAGUUUGGAAGGCUCAGAAAAAGACAGGAAGAUGAGGGAAGGUUUAAAACUUCUUAGAGACUGGUUAAAUUGUUGUGACCAAAAUGCUGAUAGUGAUAUGGACAGCGAGAUCCAAGCUGCUGAGUCUCAGAUGGAAAUGAUGAAGAAAGUUGGAGCUUACAUUUAAAAGGGAAGCAGAAUAUAAAAGUUUGGAAAUUUUGUAGUCUGCCCAUGUGGCAAAGAAAGAAAAAGCUUUCUCAAAAGAGGGAUACAAGCAGGCUGUGGAGCAACCACUUGCUAGAGAUAUUUGCGUAAUUAAAAAGGAGUGAGGCCGGGCGCGGUGGUUCACCCCUGUAAUCCCAGCACUUUGGGAGGCCGAGGCUGGCGGAUCAUGAGGUCAGGAGAUAGCGACCAUCCUGGCUAACACGGUGAAACCCCAUCUCUACUAAAAAUACAAAAAAUUAACCAGGUUCAGUGGCGGGUGCCUGUAGUCCCAGCUACUCGGGAGUCUGGGGCAGGAGAAUGGUAUGAACCUGGGAGGCGGAGCUUGCAGUGAGCCGAGAUCGCGCCACUGCACUCCGGCCUGGGCAAAAGAGCGAGACUCCGUCUAAAAAAAAAAGGAGCCAGUGCUAAUGUGUCUGGAAUUGGUGGGUUCUUGGUCACACUGACUUCAAGAAUGAAACUGCGGACCCUUGCGGUGAGUGUUACAGCUCUUAAGGUGGUGUGUCUGGAGUUUGUUCCUUCUGAUGUUCGGAUGUGUUCGGAGUUUCUUCCUUCUGGUGGGUUCGUGGUCUCGCUGGCUCAGGAGUGAAGCUGCAGACCUUUGCGGUGAGUGUUACAGCUCUUAAGGCGGCACAUCUGGAGUUGUUCGUUCCUCCCGGCGGGCUCGUGGUCUCGCUGGCUUCAGGAGUGAAGCUGCAGGCCUUCGUGGUGAGUGUUACAGCUCAUAAAAGCAGCAUGGACCCAAAGAGUGAGCAGUAGCAAGAUUUAUUGCAAAGAGCAAAAGAACAAAGCUUCCACAGUGUGGAAGGGGACCCAAGCGGGUUGCCACUGCUGGCUGGGGCAGCCUGGUUUCAUUCUCUUAUCUGGCCCCACCCACGUCCUGCUGAUUGGUAGAGCCCAGUGGUCUGUUUUGACAGGGCGCUGAUUGGUGCGUUUACAAUCCCUGAGCUGGAUACAAAGGUUCUCCACGUCCCCAUCAGAUUAGAUACAGAGUAUCCACACAAAGGUUCUCCAAGGCCCCACCAGAGCAGAUAGAUACAGAGUGUCCAUUGGUGCACUCACAAACCCUGAGCUAGACACAGGGUGCUGAUUGGUGUGUUUACAAACCUUGAGCUAGAUACAGAGUGCCGAUUGGUGUAUUUACAAUCCCUGAGCUAGACAUAAAGGUUCUCCACGUCCCCAUCAGAUUAGAUACAGAGUAUCCACACAAAGGUUCUCCAAGGCCCCACCAGAGCAGAUAGAUACAGAGUGUCCAUUGGUGCACUCACAAACCCUGAGCUAGACACAGGGUGCUGAUUGGUGUGUUUACAAACCUUGAGCUAGAUACAGAGUGCCGAUUGGUGUAUUUACAAUCCCUGAGCUAGACAUAAAGGUUCUUCACGGCCCCACCAGAGCAGCUAGAUACAGAGUGUCAAUUGGUGCACUCACAAACCCUGAGCUAGACACAGGGUGCUGACUGGUGUGUUUACAAACCUUGAGCUAGAUACAGAGUGCCGAUUGGUGUAUUUAUGUCUAGCUCAGGGAUUGUAAAGGUUCUCCAAAGCCCCACCAGAUUCAGGAGCCCAGCUGGCUUCACCCGGUGAAUCCCGCACCGGGGCUGCAGGUGGAGCUGCCUGCCAGUCCCCUGCGUGCGCCCGCACUCCUCAGCCCUUGGGUGGUCGAUGGGACUGGGUGCCGUGGAGCAGGGGGUGGCCCUCGUCGAGGAGACUCGGGCUGCACAGG